UUUACAGGGUGUUGGAAUGAUCAUGGAGAGACAUCCCGACGCAAAACUCUAAAUACGAUUCCUCAGCUUUAUAUCUCUUUCUCCGACGGUGUGUGUGGCGUAGAUAUUUAAGUGCUGUCUCACAGCUUGGUCUAGAAUCGCUCUGAUGUCUCGACAACCGUGAACGGCACGCAUUCUGAGUGCCUCCAAUCGUGACAUAUGAAGUCGCUGGCCAGAACCCUGAACGACGACAACGGAGUUUCCAAUUGGCACGUCAAUGUGAAGCCCUGGGAGGGAAACUACUGAUAAGGUUGCACCGGGCAUGCACUCUUCCAUGUAAUUGGCGUCUAGGAGACCAACUCCUUGGGCUCCUUUGUCGUCAUCCGCGAUUACCGAAUCUGUGAUCGUUACCGAACAGCCCACGGCGUAAUCCUGGAAGAGAAAUUUGCAUAGUUCAAUUUUGCAGAUAGAUCAAUUAUUGUAUUUAGAUAAUGUCACUUUUUUUUUUUUAAUUU